UGAGACACGGACCCAGGCCCUAUGGGGCGCAGCAGGCGAGAAACCUUAGCAAUGUGCGAAAGCACGACUAGGUUAAUCCGAGUGAUUUCUGCUGAAGAAAUCUCUUUGUCAGUUUUAAAAAUACCGAUGAAUAGGGGGUGGGCAAGUCUGGUGUCAGCCGCCGCGGUAAUACCAGCACCUCGAGUGGUCAGGAGGUUUAUUGGGCCUAAAGCAUCCGUAGCCGGCUAUGCAAGUCUCCGGUUAAAUCCAGCUGCCUAACAGAUGGGCUGCCGGAGAUACUACACAGCUAGGGAGCGGGAGAGGUAGACGGUAUUCGGUGGGUAGGGGUAAAAUCCUCUGAUCCAUUGAGGACCACCAGUGGCGAAGGCGGUCUACCAGAACGCGUUCGACGGUGAGGGAUGAAAGCUGGGGGAGCAAACCGGAUUAGAUACCCGGGUAGUCCCAGCUGUAAACGAUGCAAACUCGGUGAUGCGUUGGCUUAUGGCCAACGCAGUGCCGCAGGGAAGCCGUUAAGUUUGCCGCCUGGGAAGUACGUACGCUAGUCUGUAUAUAUAAGCCAUUGGCGGGGGAGCACCACAAGGGGUGAAGCGUGCGGUUCCAUUGGAGUCAACGCCAGGAAUCUUACCUGGGGAGACAGCAGAAUGAAGGUCAAGCUGAAGACUUUACCAGACAAGCUGAGAGGAGGUGCAUGGCCGUCGCCAGCUCGUGCCGUGAGGUGUCCUGUUAAGUCAGGUAACGAGCGAGAUCCCUGCCAUUAGUUGCUACAGUUAUUCUCAGGAAUAGCUGGGCUAACUAGUGGGACCGCCACUGCUGAAGUGGAGGAAGGAGGGGGCCACGGCAGGUCAGUAUGCCCCGAAACCCUAGGGCUACACGCGGGCUGCAAUGGUAGUGACAACGGGUUCCGAACUUGAAAGAGAGAGGCAAUCCCUAAACGUCUACCACAGUUAUGACUGAGGGCUGCAACUCGUCCCUCACGAAUAUGGAAUCCCUAGUAACCGUCGUCGUUCACAACCGUCGUCAGUUGUACAUCACGUUCCCUGUCUCCUUGUCCACACACCGUCCCGUUCGUCUUCAUCGUAAGUUUGUUGUUUUGUCGUCGUAGUGUGCACGUCUUAUUGUGUCGUCUAUCGUCACGUCGUAGU
rnacentral:rRNA from 1 species